UACGUAGGGGGCAAGCGUUGUCCGGAUUUAUUGGGCGUAAAGAGCGUGUAGGCGGUUUGGUAGGUCCGUUGUGAAAACUCGAGGCUCAACCUCGAGACGCCGAUGGAAACCAUCAGACUAGAGUCCGGAAGAGGAGAGUGGAAUUCCUGGUGUAGCGGUGAAAUGCGCAGAUAUCAGGAAGAACACCCGUGGCUAAGGCGGCUCUCUGGGACGGUACUGACGCUGAGACGCGAAAGCGUGGGGAGCAAACAGG
rnacentral:rRNA from 1 species